GAUGAACGCUAGCUACAGGCUUAACACAUGCAAGUCGAGGGGCAGCAUUUUGGUUGCUUGCAACCAAUGAUGGCGACCGGCGCACGGGUGAGUAACGCGUAUCCAACCUUCCCCUUACUCAGGAAUAGCCCGUUGAAAGACGGAUUAAUGCCUGAUGUUCUCUUUUUCCGGCCGCGAAUGAGGAUGCGUAUGAUUAGGUAGUAGGCGGGGUAACGGCCCACCUAGCCUUCGAUCAUUAGGGGUUCUGAGAGGAAGGUCCCCCACACUGGAACUGAGACACGGUCCAGACUCCUACGGGAGGCAGCAGUGAGGAAUAUUGGUCAAUGGGCGAGAGCCUGAACCAGCCAAGUAGCGUGAAGGAAGACUGCCCUAUGGGUUGUAAACUUCUUUUGUUCGGGAAUAAAGUGCAGUACGCGUACUGUUUUGUAUGUACCGUUCGAAUAAGCAUCGGCUAAUUCCGUG
rnacentral:rRNA from 1 species